CUCGCGGCUUUUCGCUCGGGGCGCGUAUAAAUUCGAUAUUUGUUCGUUUUUAUUGCGUAUUACCGAGACCCUCUUCGUGACCAUCAUAACUGACAAUGUAAAUAUAAUCACGUUAAUCGCCAAAGCACACGUCGUGCUUGUCAUAUUUACUAUCAAUAAUUGUUCAUUUUGGAUCUUUUUAUUUUUCCGAUUUUCCGCAGACCCUUG